CGGGACGGGUGAGUAACGCGUGGGUAACCUGCCUCAUACAGGGGGAUAACAGUUAGAAAUGACUGCUAAUACCGCAUAAGCGCACAGGACCGCAUGGUCAAGUGUGAAAAACUCCGGUGGUAUGAGAUGGACCCGCGUCUGAUUAGCUGGUUGGUGAGGUAACGGCCCACCAAGGCGACGAUCAGUAGCCGACCUGAGAGGGUGGCCGGCCACAUUGGGACUGAGACACGGCCCAGACUCCUACGGAAGGCAGCAG
rnacentral:rRNA from 1 species